UAUUAGCUCAGUUGGUUAGAGCACCCCUGAUAAGGGUGAGGACCCAGGUUCAAAUCCUGGAU
rnacentral:ncRNA from 14 species